AACGAACGCUGGCGGCAUGCCUAACACAUGCAAGUCGAACGAGACCUUCGGGUCUAGUGGCGCACGGGUGCGUAACGCGUGGGAAUCUGCCCUUGGGUUCGGGAUAACAGUUGGAAACGACUGCUAAUACCGGAUGAUGUCUUCGGACCAAAGAUUUAUCGCCCAGGGAUGAGCCCGCGUCGGAUUAGCUAGUUGGUGAGGUAAAGGCUCACCAAGGCGACGAUCCGUAGCUGGUCUGAGAGGAUGAUCAGCCACACUGGGACUGAGACACGGCCCAGACUCCUACGGGAGGCAGCAGUGGGGAAUAUUGGACAAUGGGCGAAAGCCUGAUCCAGCAAUGCCGCGUGAGUGAUGAAGGCCUUAGGGUUGUAAAGCUCUUUUACCCGGGAUGAUAAUGACAGUACCGGGAGAAUAAGCCCCGGCUAACUCCGUGCCAGCCGCCGCGGUAACAC
rnacentral:rRNA from 1 species